AAUAUUCAACCGAAUUUCGGACGAAUCGAACCUGUUUUUACUGUACAUAUUUUCAUAAAAAGAUGUAUGUCAAGGUCGUUGGGGCGUUAGUACUACUUCUAGUACUAUUCAGACUCUCUGUUGAAGCUGCUCACAGUGGAAUGAACUUAACUGAGUAUAUCAACCCCGAUUCUUAAUAAGCACGAGUAUGUGAGUGCUAAGAUAUUUUUGAUACAGGAAUUAUGUUUAACCAAAUAAAGGAUUUGUU